GACUCUUUACUCGAAUCUCCCAUGCUCCGUCCUUUCUUUUCCGAGCCUUCUCUCUCUCUCUCUCUAUCUCUCUCCGACGCGGAAUCUGCUGGUGUUCUCGAUCUCGGUCAUUGCGUUCUCGAGUGAGGAUAGCUGCGCCUCGCGCGAGGCUCUUCGACGGUUGGCCUCGUUCUGUGCCUCGGCGGCGGCGGUGGCGGCGGCUCGAGAUCGAAGAGGCUCUACCUGAAGCGGCCAAGCUGGGAAUUUUGUGCAUGGGGAGUAGUGAUACUUGUUGUUCCUGUUGUUGUUCUUCAUUGUGUGGAUUGGUUAUAGGGUGAAGGCUCAACCUAUAACCAUCAAUAAUUACUCUCCUAAUCCUUCUCAGUUGCGGCUCAACCUCAUCAUCAUCAAUAAUUACUCUCCUAAUCUUUCUCAGUUGCGGCUCAACCUCACACACCCAGUUCCAGCCCUUACUUUAACUUUUGAUUCACGAUUUUGCUCUCCAUUUUUUAGCUCGCUUUUUCAGGUAUAAAAAGGGUCCAAAAAGGUCUCACAAGGACCCUCAUCUCUCCCUUUUAUAGCUCACGGCCGGCCCUCAUUUUCUGGUCCAAUUUUUCAGUCC
rnacentral:lncRNA from 1 species